ensembl:snoRNA LOC120093334 small nucleolar RNA SNORD113/SNORD114 family
UGGAUCAUUGAUGACCAAAAAAAAAAAUCAUCUGGGAGUCCUCUGAGACAUCCAUGAUGACCACAACAUUGUAAGUCUGAGGUCCAC